UUUUUUUUUUUUUUUUUUUUUUUUUUGCCUUGCCUGCUGAUUGCAGAAGUUCCUAGGCAGGGAUCAAACCCAUGACAUAGCAGUGACCCAAGCCACAGCAGUGACAACACUGGAUCCUUAACUGCUAGGCCACCAGGGAACUCCUGAAUUUUAUUUUCCAAAGGAGACGAAGGAAAGUGCAAACAGGUUGGGAGGAGGGCAGAGACAUACCAGAUAUCAUGUUCCUAGCAAAGGUCAAAGGACACAGAAAAUUAUCCUGGCAUAUUUUCACCAAGUGCCAUAGUGUAUAACCACCUGCAAGGCAUCAAAGCCACAGGUUGGUGUGCAGCUCCCAGGCAGCAGGGCUGUUUGAUCACUGAUGCCAGCACCGAGGUGCCUCUUUGGGUGCUCAAGCAAGGUUGUCUGUGGCCACUGAACUCUCACCUUGAAAGGGAGAGCCUUGCAGCACUCUCAUAAAUAGUUGUGAGCUGCUGAUUGGUAGAUGCCCUAGUGAGGUGAGGAGCAGGGAGGCCCAGUGUCACAGCAUGUUAGGUAUUUAUUGCUGCAUUAAAAUUACCCUAAAACUGGGAGUUCCCAUUGUGGCUCAGUAGUAACAAAUCCAGCUAGUAUCCAUGUAGAGGGGGGUUCAAUCCCUGGCCAUGCCCAGUGAGUUAAGGAUAUGGCAUUGCUGUGAGCUAUUGUAUAGGGUUUUCUGGAUACAAAUCCUGGCAACCUUUUAACCUGAAGGAUGUUCCAUAGUAAAGAUAAGUACCCUAGCCAGCCUAUCUGAACUUAUGGCCUCCCCUCGAACAUUCUCUAAUACCCUCCCUUCUUUAUUUCCAUCCAUAGCAAUAAAAUAUAUUUUAUUUUACUUAUUUUAUCUGGGAAUAUAGAAGUCCUACUGUGAGCUAAUAGGGUUGAGGACUUUAAUCUCUUUUACUCGUUGCUGUAUUACCAACACCUAGAACAAUUCCUGAUACGUAGCAAACAUUGGUAAAUAUUUGAUGAGUGAAUAAAUUAUAACCUUGCUUAGCAAACAACAAUAAAGGCAGAUUGCACAUAAAUUACUAUUUAGAAAAACACAAGAUCCUCUGCUUCAAGAUAGCCAAGGGCGCUCACUCAAGACCCAGAGACAUGCCAGAUCCAUGUCUUCAUGGAACUUCUAUUUCACUAAAGAUUGGGUGAGGCGUAUCAAUUUCAUUCUGUUCAGCAGCCAUAGAGAGAGACAGUUGGUGAAAACAUCUCUGUGUUUUCUCAUCUAUAUUCUUGUCACUCACCUGUGACAGGCCCUGAUUUGAAUUUCCUUAGAGCCGAUCUCAGAGGAUCUUUAAAAAAAAAUGUUUUGAGGUGCCUCCUUAGCGCAGUAAGUAGCAAGUCAACCUCAUUUCAAAAAAUGUUUUGAGGCUAAUAAAGCAAAUGUAGGUGAGGCCAGGGUACCAACAGCUGCAUUUUGCUCUAGGAGUAAACAAUUCCUUUAAUUCAGCUGCCAUUUUUCAAAAUAAUCAAGCAAUGCAGCAAAAUUUAAGGAAAGGUUUUAGCUCUCAGGAAAUACUUUAUCAGAAUCAUAUAAAAUAAGCUAGGGACAGGCCCAAAUAUGAGCAUAUAAUCUGUCAAAUAAACUCAUAUCUGAGAUAUAGCAACAGUGACCUUCUAUAAUUCUAAUUCUUCAAUUAACUAAACCAGGAGAUACAUUUCAAAACAUUGCAGGAGUUUACUGUAUACC
rnacentral:lncRNA from 1 species